UACAGAGGUGGCAAGCGUUGUUCGGAAUUACUGGGCGUAAAGCGCGUGUAGGCGGCUCUUCAAGUCAAGCGUGAAAGCCCCGGGCUCAACUCGGGAACUGCGCUUGAUACUGUCGAGCUAGAGUGUGGAAGGGGCGAUUGGAAUUCCGUGUGUAGCGGUGAAAUGCGUAGAUAUACGGAGGAACACCAGAGGCGAAGGCGGAUCGCUGGGCCAACACUGACGCUGAGACGCGAAAGCUAGGGUAGCAAACGGG
rnacentral:rRNA from 1 species